CAAACUUUUCUGGAGACUGAAAUCUUUUAUUUAUACACAGAACAUCUACAGCAAGGACUGUAGCAGUGCAAGCUUCACUGCAAUUAAGUGUCUGAAUCCUGACCUUGAAGGACCAUCUCUAGGGAUGAGGUUAGUUUUCAUGUUCAUUCACAACCUGAUCCAAAGCCCAC
ensembl:misc_RNA